GACGAACGCUGGCGGCGUGCUUAACACAUGCCAGUCGAACGGAAAGGCCUGCUUUCCCUUGUGGAUUGCGGGUACUCGAGUGGCGAACGGGUGAGUGACACGUGAGUGAUCUGCCCCCAACUUGGGUAUAAGCCUGGGAAACUGGGUCUAAUUCCCGAUAGGACUGCAGGGUGGUGCCUGUGGUGGAAAACGAUUUUCUAGUGGUUGGGGAUGAGCUCGCGGCCUAUCAGCUUGUUGGUGGGGUAAUGGCCUACCAAGGCGGCGACGGGUAGCCGGCCUGGGAGGGGGGACGGCCACAUUGGGACUGAGAUACGGCCCAGACUCCUACGGGAGGCAGCAGUGGGGAAUAUUGCACAAUGGGCGGAAGCCUGAUGCAGCGACGCCGCGUGGGGGAUGACGGCCUUCGGGUUGUAAACUCCUUUCGACCGCGAGGAAGCCACCUGGUUGGAAGGGUGGUGACGGUAGUGGUAGAAGAAGCACCGGCUAACUACGUG
rnacentral:rRNA from 1 species